AACGAACGCUGGCGGCAUGCCUAACACAUGCAAGUCGAACGAGACCUUCGGGUCUAGUGGCGCACGGGUGCGUAACGCGUGGGAACCUGCCCUUAGGUUCGGAAUAACUCCCCGAAAGGGGUGCUAAUACCGGAUAAUGUCUUCGGACCAAAGAUUUAUCGCCUUUGGAUGGGCCCGCGUUGGAUUAGCUAGUUGGUAGGGUAAAAGCCUACCAAGGCGACGAUCCAUAGCUGGUCUGAGAGGAUGAUCAGCCACACUGGGACUGCGACACGGCCCAGACUCCUACGGGAAGCAGCAGUGGGGAAUAUUGGACAAUGGGCGAAAGCCUGAUCCAGCAAUGCCGCGUGAGUGAUGAAGGCCUUAGGGUUGUAAAGCUCUUUUACCCGGGAUGAUAAUGACAGUACCGGGAGAAUAAGCUCCGGCUAACUCCGUG
rnacentral:rRNA from 1 species